rnacentral:rRNA from 1 species
CACGAAACAAGGCGAGCUAAUUAAUAUCAUCUAUUAGUUAUUAUAUGUAGCAUAAUAUUUUACGAAUAUUAAUUAGGGAUGAAAGGUUUUACAAGUCUUGUGAUAACUUGAUGUUCUUUAAAAAUAUUAAGUAUUUAAGAUAAUUUAUGAGUGCAAAGGCUUAUAAAGAUUAUUAAUUAUUGAUAUAAUUUCUUGUUGAUGUAAUGGUUAGCAACUUUAUAAUUAACUAUUAAUAUAUUAAAGUUUAUAAAUAUUAAAGGGCUACUAAUAACAUCACUUGUAGUAAAUAAUGUUAUUAUAAGUAUUUAAUAGACACUUAAAAUGAACUCGGCAAUAUAGUUUUCAACUGUUUACCAAAAACAUAGCCAAUAGUUAUUAUUAUUGGUUUUUUCUGCUCAAUGAAUUUUAAAUAGCCGCAGUACUCUGACUGUGCAAAGGUAGCAUAAUAAAUUGGCUUAUAAUUGAAGUCUAGUAUGAAAGAAGUAAUGGGGACUAACUUUAUUAUUGGUGUAAUUAAAAAUUACUUAGCAAGUGCAAAUUCUUGCAGUUAAUUAAUAGACGAGAAGACCCUAGAAAUUUUAAGAAAUUGUGAUUAAAGAUUUUUGUUGGGGCAACAGUGUAACAAGUAAUUUACAUUAAGUAACAAGAAACAAAAUUGAUAGAUUAAAUUACUCUAGGGAUAACAGCGUAAUGUAUUAACGAUUGCGACCUCGAUGUUGGACUAGGAUACGAAAGCUUAGAA